rnacentral:rRNA from 1 species
UACGGAGGGAGCUAGCGUUAUUCGGAAUUACUGGGCGUAAAGCGCACGUAGGCGGCUUUGUAAGUUAGAGGUGAAAGCCUGGAGCUACAACUCCAGAAUUGCCUUUAAGACUGCAUCGCUUGAAUCCAGGAGAGGUGAGUGGAAUUCCGAGUGUAGAGGUGAAAUUCGUAGAUAUUCGGAAGAACACCAGUGGCGAAGGCGGCUCACUGGACCGUAACUGACGCUGAGGCACGAAAGCGUGGGGAGCAAACAGG